AACGUAGGUGGCGAGCGUUAUCCGGAUUUACUGGGCGUAAAGGGCUCGUAGGCGGCCAACUAAGUCAUACGUGAAAUCCCUCGGCUUAACCGGGGAACUGCGUCUGAUACUGGAUGGCUUGAGUUCGGGAGAGGGAUGCGGAAUUCCAGGUGUAGCGGUGAAAUGCGUAGAUAUCUGGAGGAACACCGGUGGCGAAGGCGGCAUCCUGGACCGAUACUGACGCUGAGGAGCGAAAGCCAGGGGAGCAAACGGG
rnacentral:rRNA from 1 species